AGUGGGAUAGCUGGGUCAAGUGGUGGAACUUUCCAUUCCAAGUUUUCUAAGGAAUCUCCAUACUGCUUUCCAGAUUGGCUGCACCAAUUUGCAGUCCCACCAGCAAU
rnacentral:pre_miRNA from 1 species